UACAGAGGUCCCAAGCGUUGUUCGGAUUCAUUGGGCGUAAAGGGUGCGUAGGUGGCGUCGUAAGUCGGGUGUGAAAUCUCGGGGCUUAACUCCGAAACUGCAUUCGAUACUGCGGUGCUUGAGGACUGGAGAGGAGACUGGAAUUUACGGUGUAGCAGUGAAAUGCGUAGAGAUCAUGAGGAAGACCAGUGGCGAAGGCGGGUCUCUGGGACGGUACUGACGCUGAGACGCGAAAGCGUGGGGAGCGAACAGG
rnacentral:rRNA from 1 species